AUGGAAAAGUCCACAGACCCACUCCAAAAGGCUUUCGGAGCCAUCAUCGACUCAGUGGGUUUUGUCCAACAUGUCUCUGUACCUACUCACUGCCACAGUCAUACUCUGGACCCAGUUUUGUCCCAUGGAAUAAAUGUUGUGGAUCUUAAUGUUUUUCCUCAUAAUCCUGGACUAUCGGACCACCAUUUUAUUAUGUUUGCAAUUGCAACAAAUAAUCUGUUCAGACCCCAACCAAGGAGCAUCAAAAGUUGUGCUAUAAAUUCACAGACAACACAAAGAUUCCUUGAUGCCCUUCCAGACUCCCUUUGUCUACCCAAGGACGUCAGAGGACAAAAAUCUGUUAACCACCUAACUGAGGAACUCAAUUUAACCUUGCACAAUACCCUAGAUGCAGUUGCACCCCUAAAAACUAAAAACAUUUCUCACAAGAAACUAGCUCCCUGGUACACAGAAAAUACCCGAGCUCUGAAGCAAGCUUCCAGAAAAAUGGAACGGAAGUGGCGCCACACCAAACUGGAAGUCUUCCGACUAGCUUGGAAAGACAGUCCCGUGCAGUAUGGAAGAGCCCUUACUGCUGCUCGAUCAUCCUAUUUUUGCAACUUAAUUGAGGAAAAUAAGAACAAUCAGAAAUUUAUUUUUGAUACUGUCGCAAAGCUAACUAAAAAGCAGCAUUCCCCCAAAGAGGAUGGCUUUCACUUCAGCUGUAAUAAAUUCAUGAACUUCUUUGAGGAAAAGAUCAUGAUUAUUAGAAAGCAAAUUACGGACUCCUCUUUAAAUCUGCGUAUUCCUUCAAAGCUCAGUUGUCCUGAGUCUGCACAACUCUGCAAGGACCUAGGAUCAAGAGAGACACUCAAGUGUUUUAGUACUAUAUCUCUUGAUACAAUGAUGAAAAUAAUCAUGGCAUCUAAACCUUCAAGCUGCAUACUGGACCCUAUUCCAACUAAACUACUGAAAGAGCUGCUUCCUGUGCUUGGCCCUCCUAUGUUAAAGAUAAUAAACGGCUCUCUAUCCACCGGAUGUGUACCAAACUCACUAAAAGUGGCAGUAAUAAAGCCUCUCUUGAAAAAGCCAAACCUUGACCCAGAAAAUAUACAAAAACUAUUGGCCUAUAUAGACCCCAUCAUAACACUGAGACUGCACUUGUGA
rnacentral:lncRNA from 1 species